UACGUAGGUGGCAAGCGUUAUCCGGAUUUAUUGGGCGCAAAGGGAACGCAGGCGGUCUUUUAAGUCUGAUGUGAAAGCCUUCGGCUUAACCGGAGUAGUGCAUUGGAAACUGGGAGACUUGAGUGCAGAAGAGGAGAGUGGAACUCCAUGUGUAGCGGUGAAAUGCGUAGAUAUAUGGAAGAACACCAGUGGCGAGAGCGGCUCUCUGGUCUGUAACUGACGCUGAGGUUCGAAAGCGUGGGUAGCAAACAGG
rnacentral:rRNA from 1 species